AAAGUUCAAUACGGAGAAGAAUUGGCGAAUCGCUCUGGCCCCGAGUCAUGCGGCAUGCAUCGCGAGGUACAUGUCGAAGCGUUGACAGGGGAAACCGACAGGCCAGCCAUUGAGCCGCGAAAUAGUUCCUCUGGGAUGCCGACGCUGUUAAGCGAAGCGGAAGGCAACACGGAGCACGACGAUAAUCGCAAGUCGUGCGCUGAUCCUGCGCGGUCGGAGACCC
rfam:Burkholderia glathei PML1(12) contig00035, whole genome shotgun sequence.